CCUUACCUGGGCUUGACAUGUUAGUCGUAGAUUUGUGAAAGCUUAUCGUCACUUCGGGUGGACUAUCACAGGUGCUGCAUGGCUGUCGUCAGCUCGUGUCGUGAGAUGUUGGGUUAAGUCCCGUAACGAGCGCAACCCCUAUGAACUGUUGCCAGCGGGUAAUGCCGGGGACUCUGUUCAGACUGCCCAGAUUAACUGGGAGGAAGGAGGGGAUGACGUCAAGUCAGUAUGGCCCUUACGCCCAGGGCUGCACACGUGCUACAAUGUCCAGUACAAUGUGAACCGAGACCGCGAGGUGGAGGAAAUCUAUAAAACUGGGCUCAGUUCGGAUUGUAGGCUGCAACUCGCCUACAUGAAGUUGGAAUCGCUAGUAAUGGUACAUCAGCUACGGUACCGUGAAUACGUUCCCGGGUCUUGUACACACCG
rnacentral:rRNA from 1 species